rnacentral:pre_miRNA from 1 species
UACAAUGUUUGGCUCUUCGUCUUAUUUAAAAAUUUUCUAUGAUUACUAUUACUAUUAUUAUUAUUAGAUGAUAAAAUAUGAAUAAUACUUUAUGUGUGACUAAUUUUUUUAAAAAAAAAUUAAAUAAGACGGACCAUCAAACGUUGGACACAAAAACGCA